rnacentral:rRNA from 1 species
GAUGAACGCUGGCGGCGUGCUUAACACAUGCAAGUCGAACGGAAAGACCAGUGCUUGCACUGGUACUCGAGUGGCGAACGGGUGAGUAACACGUGGGUGAUCUGCCCUGCACUUCGGGAUAAGCCUGGGAAACUGGGUCUAAUACCGGAUAGGACAAUGGUUUGGAUGCCGUUGUGGAAAGUUUUUUCGGUGUGGGAUGAGCUCGCGGCCUGUCAGCUUGUUGGUGGGGUAAUGGCCUACCAAGGCGUCGACGGGUAGCCGGCCUGAGAGGGUGUACGGCCACAUUGGGACUGAGAUACGGCCCAGACUCCUACGGGAGGCAGCAGUGGGGAAUAUUGCACAAUGGGCGCAAGCCUGAUGCAGCGACGCCGCGUGGGGGAUGACGGCCUUCGGGUUGUAAACUCCUUUCGCUAGGGACGAAGCGUAUUUGUGACGGUACCUGGAGAAGAAGCACCGGCUAACUACGUG